rnacentral:lncRNA from 10 species
GUGGCGCUCGCCUGUGGCCCCCGCAUUUCGGGAGGGGAAACCCUUGGGAAACGUAGAAUAGAAGCAGAUUCCUUUAAGCUGAUAGGUAGCAUCUGUAAGGCCGGCAGGAGCAGGUGCUGGCACUCAGGAAGCCUCCUCUGAAGCAGGAACGUUUGCCACCUGCCCCCACCCUCAGCCUCAUCUUUGGAGCAGGUGCUGGCACUCAGGAAGGCUCCUCUGAGGCAGGAACCUCGGCCACCGGCCCCCACCCUCAGCCCCAUCUUCAGGAUGCAAGACAGCUCCCGCCUGUAGGCAGCACAGAGGUCUUCCUCGCACACUCUCAGAACCGGCAAGAGUUAGCUCAGCAAGGCUGCU